GAUGAACGCUGGCGGCGUGCCUAAUACAUGCAAGUCGAGCGAACAGAUGAUGAUCUUGCUCCUCUCACGUUAGCCGCGGACGGGUGAUUAACACGUGUAUAACCUACCUAUAAUACUGGUAUCACUUCGGGAAACCGGAUCUAAUACCGGAGAAUCUAUUGAACCACAUUGUUCAAUAGUGAGAUACGGUGGUUCUGUCACUUAUAGAUGGAUCCUCGCCGCAUUAGCUAGUUGUUAAGGUACCGGCUUACCAAGGCGACGAUGCGUAGCCGACGUCAGAGAGUGAUAGGCCACCUGGGAACGGAGCCACGGUCAAGACGCCUACGGGAGGCAGCAGAAGGGAACCUUCCGCAAUGGGCGAAAGCAUGACGGAGCAACGCCAAGUGAGUGAUGAAGGUCUUCGGAUCGUAAAGCUGUGUUAUUAGGGAAGAACCAAUGUGUACGUAACUAUGCCCGUCUUGACGGUACCUAAUCAGAAAGCAACGGCUAACUACGUG
rnacentral:rRNA from 1 species